rnacentral:tRNA from 1 species
UCCCUGGUGGUCCAGUGGUUAAAACUCUGAGCUCUGAAUGCAGUGGGACUGGGUACGAUUCCUGGUUAGGGAA